rnacentral:lncRNA from 1 species
GAGAAUAAAAGCAAAUGAAGUUCUUAGAAUUAAAGCAAGGGAAUAUGAGUGUGGCAUAAUAUGCAAAAAAGUUUUUAGAGCUAGCUCGAUUCGCGCCCAACUUAGUAGCAAAUGGUAGCCUAAGAGCUACGAAGUUUCAGAGAGUCCUGCAUAAGGAGAUCUGGAACAAAAUCUCAAUUCUAAAGAUUAAUGACUAUUAAGAAGCACUAGAAUGGGCCCACAUUGCAGAAGAGGAUAC